UGAUGCAGUAAAUCAUAGCCUCUCCUUCAGCAGUGACGGCAAUGUGCUCGCUUUACAUCAUCUACUCCGGAACAAUCAGGAGAAAAUUGGCCAGUGUCUUUCUAGCAACAGGGAUCAUAAAGCUGUUGGAAGAUGACCUUUUGAUAAAUGGCAACACUUCUUGUAUACCUCGGUCCUCCAGAGCACAAACCUGUGGCAGAUACAUACCGGUCCAGCCUUAACCUUACCAGUUAAAAGUUUGAGGAAUUUAUGAUGAGGCAUCAGGUAUGUGAAAAAGAAGAGAUCAAGGCUUUGAAAACAUUAAGUAUUUUUUACCAAGCUGGGAAUUCCAAAGCUGGGAAGCCAAUUUUUUAUGUUGCAAGGAGCUCUUUGAAUCACUGAAUUUUCAGAAUGACUUCAAAUAUGAGGCAUCUUUCUACCUGAGGAGGGUGAUCAGGGUCCUCUCC